rnacentral:lncRNA from 1 species
AAUUAAAUCAAAGUAAUAAAGUAGCUAUUUAAGCAAAAUGGCUAUCUAUUGUAAUUAAUUAGAAGCAAUAUAACUAUAUAACCAACUUACUUUUGUAUUUAGUAAUUGCCAAACUUAUAAAAAAAAUUAAUGUUCUAUCUACCUUGAUCAAUUUUAGAAUGAAUUCAACAUUGUUCUCAUUUUCUUAUUCCUAUGUAGUAAAAUUUUAUCUUAUCUUAGCUUAUAAUUGUGGUCAUUAUGGAAUUCUGUCAAACUAAGACUCUAUUCAACUUACUUAUUUGGUAGAAGUCUAUUAUGUUAAGAUUAUUUAAAGUCAAUUCAAGUUUAAUUUGUUUGAGAAUUUUCUUGAGUUGAUUACUAAACUUGGUUAAAUUGUGAAAAUUAAUUUUUAUUUACUAACCUUGAAUUACUAUAUUUGAAUUGACAACAACUUCUCACAAAUUUGGAAAACUUUUUGAAUCAAAUUCCAAUUUGGUCAAGUAACUCAAAGAUCCUUUUUUUUUUAGUCCAACCGGCUGGACUUUAGAUUGACCAAAGCCUCUAAGUACCAAAGUCUUGAUUGACGACUAUCAAGUAGAACAUCCAAGUUGUACUUGUAAGUGCCAAAGUCAACAUUGGCAUAUAUAUAUAUAUAUAUAUAUGAAUGAAAUCCUAGAGAGCAAAUAGAAAAUUAAAAAUAUAUUCAAUACUCAUUUGUUCAGAUAGGUGAAUUAUUGAAAUAAAUCCCACUUGGCUAAUAGAAAUUAAAAAAUGAGAAUAAACAAUGGCGGGGGCAGAACCGACCUGAAAUAGCUUCUCCCUGCCGUGCAAAAGUCAACUCCUGCUUGAACUUUGAAUUGAACUACGCCACAACACUGAGAAGUAAUUUCAGGAGUCUGCGAAUCGAAAAGAUUCAAAUGACCACUACUAUAAUCGAAGGCCAGUUGGGUAACACUCAAAUAUAGAAUUUGGAUAAUUUUAUUAUGGUUUGAGCCCAGCACGUACUGCUGCAAUUACUAGUUCGAAGACACAAAACCUACUUAUCCAGCUAUCGUUGAAGAUUCAAACCAACAAUAUGCGCAAAAUGUUUAUAAUUAGAAUCUUACAGCUCAAAUUUAUCGUUUAACAAUACAAAUCAAGUCAUGCAAUUGCAGCAGCAACUAACUAAUUCAACCAGAGUAAAACAGAGAUGUGAACGUUUUUCUUACCAUAGAAUUUACCCAUUAAAUAUAAGCUCAUGAAAGUGGAUUAAUCAAUAACCAUUUACUUACCGUCUAGGUGAAGUAUGUGCGCCCCUGAUACGAAGCUCACGCAUCACCUCAAACAUUAUCAAUACAAUGUAAGAAACGGCUAAGUUUUCCAGAAUUAAGGGUGAAACUACAAGCACUUCACAAGCUGGAGCAUCCAACCUGUCUCCAGCGCUGGUCCUUCAAGCCUAUCCAGAAGACAUGAUCCCGAUCUUUUCCGCUGAGAUCAUGCAAUUCCAGACACAGCUCCCGACCCAUGGAAGCAUCUCCCAACGACGUCAGUGGAGUUUAGGGCACUAAUCCCGACCUGCAAAAUUGAUAACCCCUGAUUUCCAACAACGCCACCAUCGACGGCUACACAACCUAUCGUCAGGAAAAGCUCGAAAAGUUCAUUGUCGGUCCUGCGCGAAAAUAGAAAGCCCAUCGGAUGGAUCGCUCCCCACAUGCGGGAUGCCAUCCCCACCACGUCUGGCCUAGGCAACAAACAAAACCAAGUUGGGUGCCCUAAACUGCGCUUCACUGCAACCCUAUUCUUGGCAUGGGCCGUAGCUUACAGAUAGGAUGGAUGAUAGAUGUGUUCUGAUCCCUCGAUCUCCACGCAAGCCUGGAUAACGUCGGGGCGUGACCUCUCGAUUCAACAGCAUCUUAAGUGUUUCCACGGCGCAGAUGCACUGUUUUUGUCUCGUGGCUGCUGUUUGCGCAGAAAGGGGCCUGCAUCUGGAGGUGGGGUCGAGAGAGCUCCAGAUUUAACUGCACGGUUGAGGAUCGUAUGGUGGGCUGUUGCUUAGAUAGCGUUCCAUGCUUUGUUUUUUUAUCAUUAUAGAUGCGAAGUCAUUGCAAUUGGAUACAAGGUUGCAGGCGAGUCGGCUUGGCUGCAAAGCUCGGACAACUUUCAUGCGCGUGCUUAUUGAUUUAAUGGACUAGGUUCGGUAUAUUCCGUGUUGAUGCACGUCAGACGUCAGAGUUUUGGAUUGGAUGUGGCAUUGUUCGAAUUUUCUGGGAGUAGAAAAUGGUGGACCAGCAACAAUGAAGGUAGUGACGGUUGCCCCCUUCGGACACGUUUAUGAAGCGGUGGAAGUAGGGUUUGGGUUUUGAGCACUAGGUCUGCAAUUUUUUUUAAAACAAAAUCUGGACGAAACUGGGAUAUGGAAACGAAAACGGUGAGUAUGUGUGAGAUUUUUGUGCUGGAGAAGAUAAACAUGAGACGACAACAGUGUCGUAGCUCUGCUACAGCGCUAGACCUGGGUUCUGAAGGGGCUCUGCAUAGACUUGUCUGUCCCUUUUCCUCAGGAAUGGUUGGGUCAUCAUGCUCUGUACGAAUCACGAUAUUGUGUGUGAGAGAGAGAGAUGUGUCAUUGAAUCAUUUUUCUUUCUGUACAGUAGUUUUGUUGAACUUCUAGUGAUGGUUUGACUCGCGUUGUGAACCAAUUUUGUGUGAACUACAUCACAGCUUGUGUAAUAAUAACUGCAAUAAAAUCUUAUCAUGGUAUUCUGCUUCAUACCAAACAUAUUUUCAGACUCAAAUUUCACUAGACAUGUUGUAAGCACACAAACACACACACACACAUACAUACACACAUACACUCACAUAUCCAUCAGAGUCAUGAAUGGGAUCCCUCUUCAAAUUCGUUUUCACUGCAAUCAAUCAUCAACUUUCAACACGCUGAAUGGGACUCCAUGUAUACCAAUUGGCUGUCACAAAAAGUGCACCCCAUAGCUAAUCAAUCAUUCACAGAAAAAAAUAAAAAAAUAAAUAAACCAUAGGAAUACUGUGACUUCUUCAUCACGCUAUUGCAGCUGCAGAAAAUCGAUAUUCCCCUUCGUCCCAGUCGUGUAUAAAAAACCCAAAACCUACUAGUAUCCAUCACAGCAAUCAGAUACUUUAUUAGGGCCACCCUUGUCUUCAGCCCCAGUGGGACUACAGGAUGCUUUCUGACGACGGCGCUCAUCUUUCAACUUACGCGCAAGUUGGUGAUCAUAGAAGCAGAAGAACAAAACAUGACAAGAACAGCGAUGCUUAAUGCCGACUAAUCCACAACGUAUGGCAGCUUACCAUAUCUUGUAGACUGCACGGCAAGAAUACCGUAACGUGGGUGAAGAGAAAUUUCGGCAAAUUUCCCUGCGAAACGGAAAGUAUUCCUCUGACAAACCGGAUCCUUUCUCCUAAACAUUUCUACAGUGGGUACAUGGAAAGUAGCGUUCGUACUAACUCUUUGCAGUUGUUGUUUGUUUUUUUAUAUGUAAAUUACUGAGCUCUAUUUGCACAAGGCACUGGUGAGAGCCCAACUGAGGAUAACUUGUGCUAAAUUUUAGCACACGUCUUGGCCGACUGCCUUGUAGACCCCGAAUUUCUGUGGGAGGGUAUCUGUGGAGCCCACUCCUCUCGCCGGAGGAGACCCAUUGCCGUGGUUUGAGAGCUAUAAAACAUUUGCCUCCCCCACGGAACUCUCUUCCCUUUGUCGCGCUCUCAACUGUCCUUCGUAGUGUGCAGUGAUUGCAUUUGCGUGACGCUCACUCGGUUCCUGUUUGCAGGCAUAGUGGCAUUUCGCUUGCAGUGUGUUUUUGAGCGGUACAGGGGAGGUUUUUGAUUGAGCAACGGCGGCGAUUGGUUUUAGCCAAGUUCUGUGCUGCGAGAGUGAGAGUGUACCUUUUUCUAGGUGCUGUUAUCGCGGAUACAAUUUGUCGAAAUCACAAUAACGUCUUGCAAUAGAUCUUUGCGAAGGUCAGCGACGGUCGCAUUCUCGGUUGUUCACGACCCAUUUGGACGCUUAAGUCGAAGAAUUUGAAUGAGUGUGGAAGCAUUCGACAAGUCUUGUGUAAAGGAGUAUUUAUCUUUGAAGCCAUAGAGUUGAGCAGGAAGGACGCACUCAAAGUGUCCCAGUGAACAUUACAUUUCCAAAAUGAUCACCAGCAAGGCCAUUCCUAUUUGCCGAAGCGCGUUCCAGGGCGAGUACCUGGUUUCCUCCUCACCGAAGAGUGUUGGAGCUCUGGGUUCAAGCUCCAGUCCCAAACGGAAAUCUGGGUAUGGUAUGGUUACGAUGGCGUACACCGGCGGAUCUGUGAAGGACCCCUACUCCACUCUCGGUGUCUCACCUGGCGCUACCAAGCACGAGAUCAAGAAAGCUUACAGACGCCUUGCGCUUCAAUACCACCCUGAUGUCUGUGACGGCAAUCACUGCACCACAAGUUUCCAACAAAUCAACCAUGCUUACGAGGUACUCCUCUCACUCUCUUUGGAAUUAUCUGAAUUUUCAAAAUCAGUAAGCACUGGAGUUCGAUUGGCGCUUCUUCUUGUGGUUUUCUCAUCGCUAACGGUAAGUACCGUAAAUAGGUUGAAGAAGAGGUACGUCUUGUGAGGAACGGUAUCUGAUCUUGUGUGCAUCUUGCGUGUUCCUGCAGUCGCUUCUGAGCAUGUCAACCCCUCAAUUCGGGGAGUUUGAGGACGACUUGUCGGACAAUCUAGAAGGAUUCGCAGGAGUAAGCGGUGAUUCUUGGGAGGACUGGGAGGAGUGGAUGGGGUGGGAAGGCGCCGGCACCCGGGACUACUCCAAUCAUGUCAACUACGCUACCUAAGUGUAUGCAUUCCGCGGCAUUUGCUGUGACUAUCGUGUAAUUACAGGUUGUAUAAUGAUGAGCGCUUUCUCCAGCUGCGAAUGGAGUGACUUGGAUUCAAGGUAUGUAAAUAGCGGCGUUUAUUUUACGCGUCUAUGGUUUUCCAGCCCUGGAAUGGCAGGGGCUGCUCCUCAUCUAGCAACUCUUCUGAUUUCUGCUGGCAGCUUAUUAUACUAAAGCAAAAACUCUUGAAUUACGACGUUGUCCAUCUGUUCACUGUGUAGCCAAAAGGCUGUGUGUGAGAUUGAGACUCUUAUUCUUUUUCCGUGGCUGUGGCCAUGUAUAACACCAACUGUUUGGUGUGAUUUUGCAAUGAAAAACCGAUUAACAUUUGGUUCCACCCUGGAGCACUGGUCUUGGUUUUGUUUUGACUCUUUGCGCAUGUGUGGCUCUUUAUGAGACUGAAGCAUCUGUUACUAUUCAUGACAAAACUUGUGGAUAUAGAUCCCAGAUAGCAUGUAGAAACGUUUCAUGUGGCACAGCAAUGAAUCCGCACUGUGUCUGCAAAUGGGAUAUGUACAUGCUUUACACUAAUCACUUUCCCUCCGCAUCAUAUCAACGAGGCCCCCAACUAAAAAACCUCACAUCAACAUAUUUAAUUGUUUGUUUGUUGGCUUUUUGUGUUUUUAUUUUGCGUUUGUAUUCGCAUGUUAUCUGCAAGAUCUUUAACUCUGUCUACGAAGUUAGAGGAUAUAUAUUAUCUCGUGAAAAGAUGCAGGAGGAACAUGCUUGUGCAUGGUAGAUAGCUCCCAUUCUCCACCUCACACUGUUAUUUUGGGUGUUCCAAAAACGUGAGGUGAAGCGAAUAAGCUUGCGCACCGAGUCGUUUGAACAAAACGUAUCACCCAAUUCUGUAACCUCCUGUUGCAUUUGGCUUUUCAACCAAAAUAACAGAAAUGUACCAACUUUUUGAACAAAUGAACCAUCUUUGUCGUGGUUGAACAAACCAUCUGUGAGCUGUAACUGUGAAAAAAACACUAAACACCCAGAUUUUGAAAUGGUUAAAACAAAAUUUCCAAUGAGCAUAAGAACUCAACAAGCUCCUUGUCUGCAUCUCGAAUAAGUAGUUUUUCGCUGCAAACACUUGCCACACUUGAAUUGAUCGGUGGAAGCCACCGCCGUUGCACCUAGCUCGCAUUCAAACAUAGAUUUAGCCUUGAUACCCUCCGUUUCCUUCUUCCUCUGCUCACUUGCCAUAUCACUGAAUGUCAUGCUCACUACUGCUUCUGGUUUGAUUCUCCCGAGCAAAAUACGGCGUCUAAAGUCUAGGUUAGUGUCAUCUUUAACGUUGAACAUAAUGGACCUGUGCCAUGGAACCCAAUAGUGGAAGAAGAACUCAAGAGCAGAUCCCGAAGAAACACACAAGAAGAGAAAAAGAAGAGCAUACUAAAAGCAACACUACAGAUACACACAGUGGGAGUUUCAUGAAGCGAGAGUUAUUAAACCCACAAGCUCAUGAACCCCGCAGCAGCAUGCAUGCCUGUGUUUUGCUUUUCUCCUUCCCCUUGGAUCAAAUACAUGUAAUAUGGCUUGGCAAACAAUGACUUCUCCACGGCCACAACAUCAAUACCCUUGUGGCUUUCUCAAGAUCAUCACGAGUAGCCUCUUCCAUGCCUUGGCAAGGAGCUCCCACCAUGAGCUCUCGCACUCUAUCUCGGGUGCCACUUCCACCCAAAUGCGGAAUUUCCCCAAUGCGAGAUCGAAAUGGCGUGUCCGGCGUCACCGAUCACAGGAUUCGGGGCAUCUCGUGCGGCUUAGGUGCCGUGCUUUCCCAAAGUCGUUUGUGCCGACGGGGAUCCGUUUGAUCCGCUUCCACGCGUGCUUCGUGGGCAUCCGCAGCCGCUUGCACACCUGCACACGGGGGAAGAAUGCUUGCUUACAGCCCCGCAAAAUCGACGCUUUCCUGAACUCGGAAAGCAACAGCACCGACACAGCCUUGAAACCCUAAUUCUGUCGAAAGGAACUCGAAAUCCUAAUUCUAUGCACACUUGAAACCCUAACUCUUCCGCGCGAUGCAUCCUAAUUCAACUGCUUUUUGCGCUUUUAUUUGACGUUUCAUAGGGUGUGAUAUUUGUUUCACAUUGUGUGCCACAAUGUGUGGCAUGUCCCCACUUUGAUAUUGAGAAUGUGUAUAUUGUGUUUAUGUUUGUGUCUGUUGUAUGUUUCUUAGGGUAUAUUAUUAUUAUUAUUAUCUGUAUGUAAGUGUGCUCAUUGUGAAUGUAUUACAUAUGGGUUCAUAAUUUUACUUUAUUUGUGCAAUGAAUGGAAAAUAAGGUGAAUGAUAUUUUAUGAUUUUUGAAGCCUGACUCUUUCAUUUGACUUGCAUUUGCAACAAGAACAUGGUUUUUGGUUUUUGGGUGGUCUGGAUGUGACAACAAAGGUGAUUUCAAUACACAACAGAAUGGUAAAUUCAUUGUUAGAAAGGUUUUUUUUUGGUUGUAUCAUGGUUGCGUUGCUUUACAACAUGUUCUUUUUUGCACGAUUUGUCACUACCUUAUCUUUUAAUAUUAAACAUUUUAGUUCACGCUUUUUCAAAUAAGAAUACUCAACCUAUUGUAAAAUAACCAAUUAAUUGUAUGUUUUAUACCCUAAAAGUAGAAAGACAUGAGGAAACCCGUGUAGAGAGUAAUAGAGAUGUGGAAAUGCCCACAAGAAUUAUAACUUUCUAAGGCCUCAAUGCAUCUGCUUUCUCAAACAAUUGGUAUCUCAAUCUCUGCCUUUAAACAAAGAAAACAAUAUUUUUAACCAAAAAGAAUGAAAAAUUCUUAAGAAUGAAAAGAACUUGUUUUAAAACAGUCCUAUCUUUUUUGCAAAAUGAAAUAACUUAGGUGAAAAAGAGGGCAAAUUCAAUUUGCACAACCUAUGCACUUCAUAAGUCAUUUUGUAUUGUAGUAUUCGUAAGUGUUACAAGCCACACUUGAAUUGGAACCAAGGGUUCCAUGUUUAGUUUUUUUGAAAAAUCAAUGAAGGAAUGUAGUACAAAUUUAUUGAUUUGCCCAUAACUAUUGUUUAACUUUGUUGAAUGUUUUCAACCAUGAUGAUGAGAUAAUUUUUUAAAAAAUAAAUGUGGUCACUGAUAAAGCGAUCGAUUUAAGAAAGAUAAAAUGAAGAAACCUUUCAUCGAUACCAUUGACAUUGUACACUUUCAAAUAAAUUGUACAUUGUUAGGUCAACUGACAUUGUUUUGAAAAAAAACGUGUCAAUCAAUAAUGAAUGCAAAAGUAGUUUCAAAACAAUUAAUAAAAAUAAAGAGAAAUAAAGAGAUUUAAAAGAAUGCACUAUGUACAUAGCUGAAAAACAAACCAAAUUUUGGAUCAUUUAUUGAUGAUUAAAUUCAUACUUGAGAAAGGGAAAAAAAAAAACAAACAAACAAACAAACAAACAAACAAACUCCAAUCUAUAUAUGUAUAACAUAAAGAUAAAAGAAGCCUUUUUGUUGUUAAAAAUCACAAUUUUCUUUUAAUAAACUAGUCAUUCUAGCUACUAAAGUAAACAAGAAUUGCCUUUGUGAAUAACAUUGAAGAAACAUGAAUGGUUUCAUUAUUAUUCAUUUUUUUGUUUUGUUUUAUUUGGAGUUUUAAUUCUUUAGACGUUGAUUUCUGUUUGGCAAAUUGAAAUGUCUCAACUUUUCCAUAGCCAACAACAUGAGUUUCCACUAGUUUUUUACAAGGGUACUUUUAAUAGAUAAAAACAUAAAAUAAACAUAAAGAAAAAUUAUAUGCAAUGCUCAAUUUUAUUAAACUAUGCUUCACAAACAAAAAUUCAAUGUGUAAAUGUGAUACCAAACAAAAAAAACUUUUAUUUUCAAAUCAACUUAUUUUUUGAAUUGUUUGGUCAAUAACAUUAAUUUUUUAUCCUUGAUUCUAUAACAUCAUUCAACAAACUAUUUCUUUUUAAUUGUUUAUCCUUGAGAAAUUUUUAUAAUCGAGUAAACAUUAAUGAAAGAAGAAUAAAUAAUUACAAAAACACCAGUCUUAUUUGUGUUAAACAUGGUUCAUUUUUAAUUUACAACUUUCAGCUUUACACUCUUGGUUUAGAAUUAGAUUCACAUUAUCUAUGUUCUUUUGAGUUUAUUGAUUUUAUUCUGGUAAAUUUUUGAAUGUAUGCAUAAUACCAUACUUAAUAUUAUUCCAAAGCAGAAUCCAUGUCAAGCCAAAUUAAAGAGAAUCCAUGGGGAGUGAAUUUGGUUUAAAUGAGGAUUCAAUUCAGUUUGUUUCACUAGACUCAUCACACUCUUCCUCAUUUUCUACACACAAGAAUGAAUCACCAAAACGGAACCUUUACAGCAGAAAACCAUCCUUUCCAAGACAAAAAUCUUUUCUACACUCUUCACUUUUCCAUUAAGAAUUGCACACAUGGUCAUGGCAACGGCAGCUGUCGGCAUUCUUCACUGGAGUCGGUGAGAUUUUCCUUCCGAAGCGGAACAAUUCAAUGCCAUUUUCGACUUGUGGAUCCCCAAGGAUUUUGCACACUUGAUCUGUGUUUUCGACGAGACAGGAAGGUGUUCAUCGUUGCAGAUCUGCUUCAGCUAUGGCUUCACGCGACACUAGUGGAUUGGCCCCCACACAUGUGCUGUGAACUCCAGGUUCUGGUCUUCAAUGAGAAGGAAGCAUUUCCCUUGACCUAAUUUGCAAACUGGCGGGCCAGUUGCAGGAACGUAGAAAAGGUUUAGGGUGUGCAGGUUUUUUUAAUUCACCAUGUGCUUUUUCAUGCUUAGAAAAAUCGUAUCUCAUCAGCAGCACAAUUGGGUCCCCCAUUAGUGGUUGUUUUCGGGUGCGGGUAAGUUUUUGCUCAAUGUCGGUACAAGUCGAGGAAUCCUUCGAUCGUUGUUGUUGUUGAUAUUGUUGAUAUUCAUAUCUUGUAUAUGCCGCCUGGUGGAGGCGCAUGUCGCCCUCCGCAUCCGUGAGGUUUGUGGUAUGGGGGAGCACGGUUUAACUCAGUGUAGUUGUAGUUGUCGAUCCGCUUAGGCACGUUCUGGAAUCGGGACAAGAUGAACCUCUUCUUCGGAGGUGCCUGGGAAUGAAACUUGUCCCUGAUGAAAUCUUUUGAUAGCUCGAAAGUUUUGUUGGUGAUGACCUCCAUUCGCCGUGGUGCCUCCGCGUGCUUCUCUGGAUACCUUGACUUGAAGUACUCGUUCAUGUCGACCCAGUCAUCUUGGUAUCCACCUGCUAUCAGCGUCUCAAAGUUUCCAUCUCUGCAUAAUUGGAUGCAAUACCACAUACCAAAUUGGAAAGCGUAGUCUCAUUCAGAAGGAAAUUCAAUGCGGGAUUCACGGGUUGGGUACACACACAAGACUUAUUUUUGGCAUUGUCGAAGCAGUCGAAUGAUAUUCUAGGGUGUAGAACUUUGGUGCAGAAGUUGAAUGUAUUACCCGGGGUGUGAAAUCCCAUAUCUAUGAUUUGGGUUGUUGUCUGAGGGUAGUUUCCAUGUUGUGUUCUGCACAAAACAACAUACACAUGAAGCAGAGCUCUUAUGUGUUCUUCAUUCAUCGAGCUAAAUAGUGGCAAUUUCCCAUUCAAUUAAGAUGCAAGAAUUCAUAUAACACAAGACCUCAUCAUGUACACUUCUGUUGCAACUGCAGGCAUUACAAAUUUACGCGCAACAUGAAUGGAGAACGCUUUUCUGGAUUUGUUCUUUUUACAAGGACUUUUUUAGGUUGUAUAUGGCAGAAGAAUCGCUCCCGGGCAGUUCGCUGUUCGUUUGCUUUACAAUAAUGGCUGCAGAUUCACAACAAACGGGGGCAAAACAAUGAGAUUUCACAGCUCAUGGAUCUGCAAUAGGUCAACAAAUGACAUCAACAGAACUACCGUCACUGCGUCACGUGGUUACAGAGAACUAUGGGAAUGGUAAAAGAUUCCAGAGGCACGGCAAGCUAUUUCUCCUUACUGGAUGGCAGCUGCCUUGUUCAUUUUCUUGAAAUCAGCACCAUAACGUUCCUGCGGAGGUGCUGCAACCGUCUCGGGAUGCUCUAUCACUGUACACACCCCAAGUAAAUGUGAUUCCAAUAACGUUUUUGUGAUUUCUGCUAAAUUUUCUAUUGUGUGCAAGAGCAGCAUGUCUUAUGAAAUGGUUUUGAAUUUCAACUCUUAAGAAAAUAUUGGCAUUGUUGUUCGGUCAAGCUGUGCAUUAGAACAUUUGUUUUUUCUUAGACAUACUUGUGGCAACCCACCUUCUUUGACGCCAAGAGCACCUCGUUCACCGGGUCUUCCGUAUAUGAAGUGAGGAUCGCGGAUCCUGUGCGUGACUCUUCUUGGCUGGAGUGUCACCCCAAACGAUUGUGCUAAAGAUCAGAACGUAACAUUUUUCUUGGACUUUAGCAACAGCAGUACAGAUUCAUGCUUUUUUGUAGUGUGUGUAUUAUGACUACUAUCCACUUUACUGAAACAAUUCCAGUUUAUGAUUGAAGAUUGGAAAGGUUGAGGUGAUUACAUGACCGAGCUCUGCUUUAACAAGGUUCCAGUUCCACUUAGAAGAUGCACGUGCCAUCCCACACCUGCGAUGAUCGGACUCGGCAUACAAAUGCAUUAACCCCAUUUUUGGGCAAUUUGGGUUGUGUAUUCCUCUCUCUUUCACCGAGUCUCCUCCUCACUUAUACCUUCUAUCUAGUGGGUAAUUCUAAACCCUACUUAUUUGUGUCUUUCAUUUUGAAGUCACCCCUUCCAUGCACCGAUUUGCUCCUUAGCUAGCUGAAAUUUCACACCAAGUAUCUCAGUCCUACUUCCAUUCGUUGCUAGCCCUUUCAUGAGCUUCAACUAUAUCUCGGUUCAGAUUCUGCUCUCUGCUAGAAUUUCAGCUCACUGUGCAGUUAGUCAGUUGCUUAAUUAUCAAUUCCAUAUUGCCGCGAAGAGAUCAAAGUUGCCAUUAGAGUACGAACUGAAAGAGAAUCGAGACACUAAAAAAGAACUGAACUCAUUGCGCGGAGAAACAAAAUGUGUUGUGGAACAACACCAAGACGCCGCUACAACUUGCAGUAAGUAACAAAGAUUUAUUUUUUGUUCAUUUUUUUUUGUCUCUUUUAUUCUCUGUCACAGGUAACCAUUGAUCUCUGAUGCCCUUUCUUUUGACGCCUUGUGUUUCCUACUUCUCAUGUACAGAGAGCACAGAACGAAACAUGUUCACCCGACUUGCGAAUUUGAGGGAGCACAGUGAUGCUGCUGGCGGUUCGUGGAUUUGGUGAGACACUUUUAACCCACCUGCUUUGAUCUCUCACCCAUCGUAUACUUCACGUUGAUCUGUUACCAACAACAGCUUUUCUUCUUCGUUAAAUGCAAACCGGUCCAUGUCGAGGCCAACCGUUGUCGAAGUACCCUAUUGGUUUUGUAGCUCCUCCACAGAUCUCCGAGUGUGCACAAGGUUCGGCUACCACAAGAACUUGACAUUUUCCCAGUUGUAAUAGCAGGUUUGAAACUGUAACGGUCUCUCGGAUUCCUAACGGAUUCAGGAUGUCCGUAGCUCUCUGGAUCACAAUUGCAUCACAAUCCCAGUGGACAUAUUACUCUCAACAAAUUACGUUCCUGAAAGGUAUUGUCUCUUUUCAGAUCUAAGAGCUAAUUUCUAAAUAGGAUUUUUGUUCUUCAAGUGGCUCUUGACUUGGUUUUAUAGCAUUAUGGUGGAUAGAUUAGUGCAAGGCUAGUUGUUUUAGGAUUCAUUAUUUGUGCAACCAAAUCCUUUUUCUUUAGUUGAUUGUGGAUAUUCACCAAGAUAUAGUCUUUAGGUGGUAGUCACCAAGACAUUCUACUUUGGCUAAUAUUAGAAAUAUAUAUUUUUUAACAUGUGUAAAUAAAGAUAACAUUUGAAGCAACUUAUAUAAACCAAAUUUGUGUGGUUUGAUAAAACAAGGCCCAAGUAUAGAUUGAGAGUGUUUUUUUUAUCGUUGGUUUUUUUUCAUAUUGGGCCAAUAGAUAUGUUUGAGGUGGACAAUCUAUCAUAAGUUAUUCCUUUGAAAGUUUUGUCAAUUUAGAUUUGUCCUCUUUGAACACUUGUAUAUCUAAAUUUUCUUCUAUUAAGCUUUUUAUGAUUGGUUAUACUAAAUACAAUAGCAUGACAUGCUCAAAAAUUAUCUUUUUUACAAAAAAAUUAUAAAUGUAGUUAAAAUAUCAUAUUUAAACUUAUAAAGAAAAAUCUAUUGCAAGUAACUUUUGUAAUUUAAGAUUAGAAGAGCAAGAAGAAAUAUAGAGACAUCAUUUUUCAACUCCCUAUCAUAAUAUCAAUUUAAAUAUAGAUAAAUACCUUAUACUUGAAUUUUAAUUGCAAAUUUUUUUUGUUAAAUUUAGUGAUGAUUUGACUUUUUGUAUUUGGCUUUUGUAUAUAAUGUAUAUUAAUUUUUGCUUUUGAUAAUCUUUAUUAUUACUAUCUUUUUAAUAUCUCUAGACUUUAACACUUUAUUCAUUAAAUUUGGUUGAAAUUUUUAUUAUUAUUUAAGAGAUAUAUACAAAUAUAUGGAUGAUUAUAUAUAUAUAUAUAUAUAUAUAUAUAUAUAUAUAUAUGCUAACAAAAAUAUAGUAGCACUUUUUAAUUAUUUUUUAAAAAAUAUAUGUAUUUUGUAAACAUCUUUAAAGAUAAUUUUAGAAAGUAAAACUUUCAAAUAAUCAAACCUUCAAUAUUAGUUUGUAGUUUUUAUUUUUUAUAACAAUUGUGCACAUUGUUUUUAUUAAUAUAUUAUACUGAGCAAUUUGCACAAACACCAAAUUACCAUUCUUUUUAAUAUAAACUUUUAUAGAAAUAUUACACUAAUAUAUUGUAAUACAUUCUAUAAUAUCUAACAUGAAGGUUAAGAAAUUAUAAAAUUACAAUUUUAAUAAAAAUAGUAGUAAUAAAAUAAUAAAUCAAAUAAUAACAAAGCACAUAAAAACAAAAAAACAAAAAAAAUGAAAAAAAAUUGUGAAAAAAAUACUAGAAGCAUCCACAAGAAAAUAUAAUAUAAAUUAUUUUUUAAAAAUAAUAAGAACAGUUGCAAAGUAAAUUAUUUAAGUAUAUCAACAAGAUAUAUUGGCCUAAUCUUGAUAUGUAUUAAUAUAAAAAAUAAAUUUUUCUAAUUUUGAAGGACCCAUAUUUAUUUUAAUCAUAAAAUGGCCUUAUUAUUCUUAUUAUUAGAUACAAAAACCUAACAUAAUUUUUUAACCACAAGAAAAUUAUCUUAUCCAAUAUUAUGAACAAAAUAUGAGCUAAGUUAAGAAAACCUCUACUUUUAUUACUCAUACUUUUAUUACACCAUAAGUAAACUUUGAAAAACUUCAAAGUUCACUUAUUUAUUUAUUUACAUACUAAUCAAACCAAAAUUUUACUUCAAAUUUAUAAGUGACGCGUUUAAAAAAUAAAUUAGAACAAAACUAGAAGAUCAUAAAACUCAUGUACUCCAAUAUUAAGCAUGGUUCCCAAUUAGCUAAAUAUAUUUUUAUUACUUAUUUAUUUAUGUUGGUUGGUGUGAAAAUAAAUAAUAAAUAAAUAAAAAUACAUACAUACUCAAGAAUGGAGAUAACUACUUUUCUUGAGAAAAAAAAGGUAAUUUUUAUUUAAAGUUUGGAAGCACUAGUUAGAUUUGAUUUUUCUUUUGGUACAAGUGGGUAGACCCCACACUCAUCAACAAAUGGUAUUGACUAGGUCUGGAUGGAUGGAUGAAUUGAACGAAUGAACGACGAACGCAAAUGAACAGGAAGACAACGAUGGAUGAAUAUAACAUUAUUCAUCCAAUGGGAACGAAUGAGAAUUGAUGUAUUCUCGAUGGUUACGAUGAAUGAUAUAGUUCAUUCAUUUAACCAACGGAACGAGGUUCAUUCAUCCAUGUUCCCUUCACAGAGCGGACUUUCUGACCGUUCUGGGAAGCAGGCAUAAUUGACUUUAGACGAAGGGGCCGGAACUCUUCAAGUGUGAACGAAAACACGCCCCAAAUUAUCACGGUUCACACUGCAUCCAGGCCCAAACCCUAAUUUCGAAAAAAGAAAACAACACCCACAAACAUGCAAUUCCACAGGAAGAAGAAGAAGAAGAAGAAGGAGGUGCAAAAGGUGGGAGGACAUUGUCUCCAGAUCACAUGCCGAAGCAGGGACUGACACCAUGAAUCGAAGAAUAUUUGUGGGUCUUGUCCUCACUCCCGCCCGCUUUUCACCGCCGAAGCGGAAAUUGGGAUGGACGUGGACGAUCGCCCAGAUGUUGCGCAGCGGCAGUGGGCGAGAGCCAGGAAGGGAGUGAAGGUUGAAGCAUUCGCCGCCUUGGAAGGGAAUUGACUGGUGGUACACGGAGCUGAGCGAUCCGGACCCCGCUCGGCGCGCAGUUUGGCCGAAUUUGCCAUUCUAAAGCAGAAUCGCAUUCGGCCGAAUCUGGCGAAGGUCGUGAGUUGAAUCCCAUUGCCCCUGACCUUAGAAUCCAAGGAUGGAAGUGAAGGAUCCGAGAGGUCAAACUACGAGCGCCUUAUAUUCAGUUCGUGUGGGACAACAGACUGCUUCGAAACCCCAAUUCGAGCUCAGCUCUAUCUUCUUCCUGCCCUUUCUGCCUGCUGACCUAAUCAACCUUUCCAGGUAAUUCUGAAACAAUGAAUUUAGGGCUAGACCAUAUCUGUAAAUGGGUACAAAAACUGAUAGAAUUUUACUCUUCGAAAGUAAAAAUACUAAGAAAGGAUAAUGUGAUGGCUGUGUUGGUUUUUAUGAAGCAAGCAUGGAAACCUCACCUUUUAAUUCAUCAUUUGCUGGGAAAAAAGCCAUCAAAUGAAUUGAUAAUCUGUUUUCAUUAUCAUUUUAAAACAUGACAAAUUUUAUGGAUAUUUCUAUUCAGUUGUCUGAAGGAAGUUUUUUGGUGACGUUAAGUUGAUAAGAUUUCACGACUAUUAUCUAUUAUGUGAAAUCUUAUCAACUAAACGUCACAAAAAAAAAACUUCCUUCCACUUGUAUCUUAUUAUUGUGGUUUGAUUAUGAUUAUGGUGACAAACAAGCUGAAGCAUAUACAAUGUAGUUGCAAUUAAAGCAUUAAUUGUAAAUAGUUUGUUGAAACCACGCAGACAAUUCUAGAAAAUGGUCACUGGAAUGCUCAAGCCAAGAAUACAGUCUUCAAAUGAAAAGUUGAAGCAUGAAAGAUAAGAUUCAAAAAAGCAUUAUGGAAUCUUCAUGCUUGGUUGAGAAACCAAGAGGGUGCAACUUUAAAAGCGUGUGAUUGGCUAAAAUUGAGAAGUCUCAAUUUGUUGGCUUUGUCCUCAUAAAAAUUGACAAAAAUAAAGUUAUGAGAAAAAAUAAAAUAAAGUGAAAUAUACUUCUUGAGUACAUGACAUGACAUGACGAUGUUGUCCUUGAAAACUUGCAUCACACCCUUUUUAACAAAUGAUUUUUAUAACAAUUAAAAAUACGUGCCAAAAACUGCUAAAAUGAUACAUUCGAAAUACAAUUAAAAAAAAAACCAAAAUUUGAUAUUACUUUAGAAACAUUUCAGAAUCAAAGUAUGGAAUAUAACAACAUAUAAAAAUUACAGUAGCUCAAGUAAAUCUUUUUCAUUUCAUAUGAACUUCUUAUUUUAUACUAUCUCUAAAUACCUAACCUUCUAAAGAAUGAAAUUUAUUUGCUAAAUAAAAACCUCAAAGACUUUGAAAGACUUUUAAAGUGGGGUUACACACAUGAAGACUCCACAGUAAGUGACUUUAUUAAUCACAUGCUUUGGUAAGAAAACUCGAAUGUAAUAAAGAAUAGAGAUUUCUGUAUUUGUUGCUGCACUCAUGUAAGAAAUAAUUGCAUUGAAAUACAUAUAACUAUAGGUUACAAGGUGAAAAGUUCGAUGAAAGCGUAACAUGACACCUUAUCACUUUUUCCAUUAAAAAAGAAAAAGAAAAAAGAAGACCUCUGCAAGAUACAAAUUGUGAAUGGAAAAAAAGAUAAACUGAACAAAUGUGUGGGUCUCGCUUGCGUAAUUCAAUGCGCUUCAUCAUGAAUGACAAGCCUACCACGACCGGGACUGAAAUAUGCCCUUCCUCCGACAUUCUAUGGUUGACAUCUACACAAACAUAUAGAUAUAUAUAUAUAUAUAUAUACAUAUACAUGAAUGAAAAAAGAACAAACUAAACUGGAACCUCCUCCCAACGGCAAGUCUGCCACCUUAGGUGCUGAAAUUACUGCACACUUAAUGAAACUCACCGAAUUGGUUUUAGUUGAAAUCGACAACCGAAAUUCUCCAGUUGACCUCUCAAUCUAGCAUAGACAAAAAGAGAGAGAAGAGUGACAGCGAGAAAUAGAGCCACUCUCAAUCUGGGAGCAAACUGCUUUAUUUACCUGGACCCUCUGCAGAAAUUCAGGGCAGCAAGCUCUUAGUGGAGAGAUCUGGUGCGACGACGAACUCUCAAUGUGAAUGUCUCUCUGGCGACUGCCACAGAUCCGGAAUAAAAAUCAACGUCUCUUCACCAUUCUUACCACUAUUAGCGCCUCAAACGAGUGCUUUUAAUGCACUGCAGUAACUGCAGCCAUUCCAGAUCUUGCUUGCUUUUAAUUGCAGGGAAAACGUGCCGAUACUUUUGGGUGCGACUCAAUGCCCCAGGCUACCAGUGCUCCGUGACGGUGACGAUUUGGUAUUCCAGCCCGGUCGAUGAAUGAGCCUAUCCUGGUGAUCGGUGCAGUGGUGAUACCUGGCAACGAUGUCGUUCUCUAGUUCGAUUCAGAGAUGAGACAAACUGGUGUUUUUGGGAGGUUGUGGAUCUACGGAGGUCGGUAAUUUGCCAGGCUGGAGCGUGAUUGACUGGAAGCGAGGGAGUUUGUUCCUCGCUGCUCAUGCCACUGGCGAGUGUCGUGGUUUGUUGCCCCAACUCGGCUCUGCUGGGUCCCGGUUCUGCUGGCAGUAGAGUCCUUGGUGGCUCGUCUUUCGACUGGUGCGCCGGCGUUAUGCUGUUGUGCGUAUCGUGGGAUGACUUUUGCUGCUGCCGCAUUGAUCAGCUUUGGAGCGUGCACGCGAAAAGGAAGCCACUGGUGUGUUAACGUGGGGUGUAACUAUUCUGGAUGUGCCGUGCUUGGAGGUUGUUAGAACUGUUGAACAGCGUCCUUUCCUGCUUGAGCGCCGGAUUGAAGAGGUCGUGUGGGUAGCGAGUAUUACUGGAGGUUUCGCAGCGGUGGACGAGUGUUGCGUAGACCAUAGUGAACUUUUUCAGCGCUAAUAUGUGCAUUGAACGGCAGAUGAAGUGGCGUGGUGAUUUUGGACGUGGAGAGACGGGUUGUUUGGUACACUUGUUUCGAGUUUAGGGGACAACGUUUCAUGCACUUUGCGAUUUGUGUUUGGCGGGAAGUUCGAUAUAGCAUUGCUUGGAGGGUGUACCGGAGAAGAGAUUUUUGUGAAAGAAGCGGGAAGAGGACUGUGGAUUUCAGAGUAAAACUACAAUUGAAAAUGUGACAGUGCAUUGAUUGGAUGGGAGUGACUCUAAGCAGUCUGGUUGAUUUCGCUAGUGGAAACUCCAUUGUCAAAACAUUGUACAAAACGGAUUAGUUUUCUCUGCAUUGCGAUUGAGAGAGUAGGCAUUAGGCAAGGGUGUACUAGGAUGCCGGCGUCGGGAAGUAAACCCGAGUAGUCUGCAGGUAUUUUUCGGACAGUUUCACAAACCUGGUCGCUGAAGACUACCUACUACCAGGAGGCUCAUCUCUGGCGACGGGAGUGAAAGUGGCGAAGAGUGUUUCUUUCAUGUCGUUCGUCUCAUGAGGAUGCAAUGUUUCAUGUUACAUGAUGCUAGGCUAAACAUCAUUUUGCAAUGGUAGUCAGCAGCCUUCUUUUUCCUCAUCUCGGAAGUUCACGUUCCAAGACAUUCGAUGCAGUGCGAUGGUGUUUAGGUCAUCACAUUUUAUUACUUUACAAGUUGGUGUGCCAAACAGAUGAAGCGCAGCGACCUGCUCAGUGACAUUGUAGCGGGAACUGUUCAGCAAGUGGAAUUUCAGGGUUCCGGAGAUGCAGAAACAUGAUGCCAUCGAGAGUAGCUGUCAAAGGGCGAUACUCCUCUAGGGGUGACACUCAUUUGGUUAUGGCGGGGCCGAAUGCUACAGUGGUUACAUUGCUGCUACUGACGACGAUUGUUUUCCCAGGCGUCGCUGCACAGACACCCGAUGAGACCCACCUUUUUAAUUUUUUGAAGAAUGUGCUGCCGGAUUUCAAGCUUUACUUCAACACAUCGGUUCCUACUUGUGACUGGCAAGGAGUUGUGACUUGCAUCGGGUUAGGACCCCGUGCACAGAUACGGACUCUUACCCUAAGUGGUCGUGGGUUAAAUGGAACCAUUUUGCCAGAUACAUUGGGCGCUCUCAGUUCAUUGCAGUUCCUUGACUUGUCAAAUAAUCUUCUCUCAGGAGAAAUUCCUCUAGACAUCUACAAUCUCUCCAGCCUUUCGUUUAUUAGGCUUGCCCAGAAUAGGUUGACAGGUGGCUUGUCUCCGAUGGUGAGCAAACUUGUGCAGCUAGCCACUCUAGAUAUCUCACAGAACCUGCUUUCUGGGCCCUUGCCUUCGAAGCUUGGGGAUUUGCAGUUUCUAGAAGUUUUAGAUCUCCAUUCAAACAAUUUCUCUGAAAACAUUCCUGUGCUUAGGCAGAGAAACCCUGUUCUUCAGAACCUGGACCUUUCGUCUAAUCAGUUGACUGGAGAGGUGCCUUGGGCGUUUGACAGUCUCACUACAUUGAAGUUGCUCAAUCUGAGCAGGAAUUCGUUGACAGGAGCGUUAACUUGGCAAUUUGAGAGGCUUGAAGGGUUACAGACUCUUGACAUUUCUAGAAACGCAUUGGAGGGGCAAAUUCCGGGUUUUGGAAAUUUAAAAAAGUUGCUUAAAGUGUCACUCUCUUCGAAUAGAUUCAAUGGCAGCGUACCUUCGUCCUUGAUUGGGCUGUCUGAUCUGCAGGACCUCUCAGUGGCGGACAACAGGUUGGGAGGUUCUCUUCCGCAACUGGCAUGGGCUGAUAGUAUGAUAAGCUCCCUGGAUUGUAGCAACAACUUUUUGAACGGUAGCGUCCCCGCAGAGUUAUUUGCAUCUCCUAACCUGGUAGUUGUGAGACUUUCCGGCAAUAACUUCACAGGAGCUCUACCAGAAAAUGUUUCGUCUAAAAUACGGGAGUUGGAUCUCCACAGCAACAACUUUGUUGGCACCAUUCCAAAGAGCAUAGUCACUCUACCAGCACUGGAGAAGCUGGAGCUAUCUUCUAAUCAGUUGGGUGGUCCCCUUCCACGGGACUUCAACGGGUUGAGCUCAAUCAACUACCUGGGGUUGGCUAGAAAUUCAUUUGAGGAAGGGCUACUCCCAGAUGUUACUGGAAUGACCAAGAUCUCCUACCUAAAUCUCUCGUCUUGCAGCCUUGGAGGGCCUAUACCAGACUCAUUUGCUGCACUGAAGAGCCUGGUCUCUCUUGAUCUUUCUCACAAUCAUUUGAAUGGAAGUAUUCCUGUGAGUUUGUCUGCAGCAGCAUCUUUGGAGUCUUUGGAUCUGUCUUUUAAUAACCUUACAGAUGUGAUUCCAGCCGAGCUUGCGUCUCUUGCUUCCUUGCGCCAUGUGAACUUUUCCUACAACAAUUUGAGUGGAGAAGUUCCCAAUUCAAAGCAAUGGGCCGCUUUUGGCAGUGCUUCUUUUCAAGGCAACCCGCACCUCUGUGGUUUGGUGUUGGAGAAACCCUGUUCCUCUUAUUCACCUCCUACUCCAGGAACUUCGGGUCCACAUCAUGGACGACACCGGAGGCGCCUCUUAAAAGUGGGAGCAAUUAUUGGGAUUGUAUUAGGGAGCAUAGUGUUAUGUUGUGGGUUUCUAACCAUUUUGCUCUUGUUCAUAAAAAAGAAGCCUAAGAAGCUGACAGACAGAGAGGUCUCCAAGUACCUUUCGAGUAAACUCCCGGUGACGUUUGAAGCGGACCCAAGCACAUGGGCAGGCCAAGUUCCGCAGGCCGGGUCUAUUCCAGUAAUAAUGUUCGAGAAGCCUCUUCUUAACCUCACAUUUGCAGACCUCCUGAAAGCCACCUCUCUCUUUCAUAAGGACAAUCAGAUAUCUGAUGGAGGUUAUGGUCCAGCCUUCAAAGGGACGCUGCCUGGGGGUUUUCAAAUUGUUGUCAAGGUUCUGUAUGAAGGCGGUCCUGUCAACGAGUAUGAGAAAGCAGCACAAUUGGAGUCGUUAGGGAGAAUCAGACAUCCCAACCUCGUGACUCUCGUUGGCUAUUGCUUGGUGGGUGACGAACGAGUGCUAGUUUAUGAGUUCAUGGAAAACGGUGACCUCUCGAGUUGCCUACAUGAACUACCUAGUGGUAAAAAAUUCACCCUCUUCCUUUUCUUUUAGAUAAUCCUUAAAAACUACUAGCUGUUUAGUUAAAUUAACGACCAUUUCUUAGUCUUGAAAAAUAACCUUCAAAUGUAAUAAUUGGAAGUGUCGGAGCCUUUCUGCAAGUGACGAAAUGGUGUUUCAUACAGCGUGUUUUGUAAUGAAUAGAAACAUCUUUCCGCUUCAUAUAUCGUGAUGGAAAUACCCCCACAUUGACUAUAGGUAAUGUGAAAUAGAGAUACACAUAGAUCCUUUUCCAGUAGAAAUCAAGUGAUAGGUGCACUAAAAAGAUACAUGUCUGUUUUCAGGCCAGCAAAAUCCCGAAGACUGGUCCAAAGAUACAUGGGAAAAUCCAGACUUCGAAACGAGAAAUGAUGUACUGAGCUGGCAAGUGCGGCACCGCAUCGCCCUGGGAGUGGCACGGGCACUGGCCUUUUUGCACCAUGGCUGUUGUCCCCACCUUGUUCACCGCGCAGUAACAUCAAGUAACAUUUUGUUGGAUUCGAUUUAUGAGCCUCACCUGGCAGACUCUGGGCUCGGGACCCUCACUGUCACUGGAGGACCUGAUUCAGAGGCUCCAGCUUACUGUGGAUCUCCAGGCUACAGUCCCCCCGAAUAUGGCCAGUUGUGGAAGGCAACGACUCGUGGUGAUGUGUACAGUUUCGGGGUGCUGGUGCUUGAACUUGUGACAGGGAAGAAGCCGACGAGUCCAUACUAUCACGAAAGCUACGGCGGGAACCUGGUGGGGUGGGUGCGCGCGCUGAUCCGGGAGAAGCGGGGGUACAAGUGCCUGGACCCGAGGCUGGCGAGCUCGAAGGUGGAGAGCGAGAUGCUGGAGGCUCUGCGGAUCGGGUACCUGUGCACGGCGGAGCAUCCUUCGAAGCGGCCGACGAUGCAACAGGUCGUGGGUUUGCUGAAAGACAUACAACCGGAGUUUAGUGGUGCAGCAGCUUAGUCGCUUAGGAUGGAUGUCUCUGCGCUCUCGUACCGCUCUGCCGGUUGCUGCAGGAAGCCGGUUUGCGCGAUUGCAGGGUUUGUAUAGGAUUGUCAUUGUACACUAGGAUCCGGCGAUUUUCCUGACUGACGAGUUGUAGGCGACGUGUGCUGAUACAUACAUACAUUAAUAUAAAUCUGUCUCAGCUCAGGUGGGUGCGAUAAUAAGCAUGGCACACCACGGCAGUUGGGUUAUUCAUACGAGACUUGUUGUCAGCGUCUCGCGGGCACGAAAAGAAAGUGGGAAUGUUUGGGAGGCACACGUUAUUACUUGACUGACGCGAGGAACCUGAUGAUGCAAGGUGCAGAGCGCGAUUGUAUUUGGGAGCUUGUGGAAUGGACGUAUCGAGAGGAGGUGAGGAUGUGAGUGACGAGAGAGUGUAGGUCAUGGCUCUGGUUAGCGGUGACUUGGAGGAGCAGAGGAGUGAUGGAUUGGCAGGUGUCUCCAUGCGGGUGAUCAUGAGUUGGAUGUGCAGAGCUGCAGUGUUGCACCCGAAGGUACGAUUGAGGGGUGAGGCUGCGUAACUAUACGGAACAAUAAGGGCGGCGACUUGGGGUUGUGAACUGAUGCACAUGAAGAGUGCAGAAUUGAUGCAAAGCCAAGCUUGUGGAAAUCGCUGAGUGCGACAGAAAAUAAUAUUCAAUAAUAGAGCCCAUCAUAUUGAUAUUAUAAUAUUCAAUAAUAGAGCCCAUCAUAUUGAUAUUAUAAUAUUCAAUAAUAGAGCCCAUCAUCGACGAAAAUGAGAACAAUGAAUUUCGAAUUCAUAUCUGAAUAAUGAACACAUGCAGCGGCAGCAUUUUGCUUAAGCUGGUGAGUUGAUAAGAAUGUAGUAAGACGCUCAUUCCACGCUCGACUCGCUUCGCGCAAUCCAUGUAGUCGGGUUCUGUGGAUCCUCGAAGCCAGGCACUUGUUUCAUGUAGGUUUCUUCGUGUAAUUGACCAUGUAGAAAAACCGUCUUAAUAUCAAACUGUCUGAUGUGCAUGUCCUCUCUUGCGACUAUGGCAAGUACAAGACGAAUGGAAUCGAAUUUCACUGUAAGUGAGUAAGUUUCAUGAAAAUCAGUACCGAAUUUUUGCGAGCACCCGUUGGCGACCAAACGUGCUUUGUAACGAUCUAUGGUAUCUAUGGUAUCAUCCGGCUUAGUUUUUAAGGCAUACACCCACUUACAAUUGAUUGCCUUCCGUCCAAAAGGAAGAUCAGAUAAUGUCCAUGUUUCAUUUCGAAUUAAAGAAUCAUAUUCUUCCCGCACAGCAUGCUGCCAUUGUGAUGAGUUAGGAGAAGCAAGCGCUUCAGAAUGUCUUGGAUAGCUGAAUUGGAUAAAACUGAAGAGUACGCAAAAGACGGUAUGGCGGAGAUGGAAGAAAGAGUGUGAACUGAAUUGGCAGAAGAGUAUCUCCAAUCAUUCUGCGAGUAACCAAAACGUUGAGGUGGUCGACGUUGUCCCUGUGAGGAAGAUAAUAAAUUGUGUUCUGAAUCCGACGAAGCCUGUUGAUCAGAAUUGCGAGACUCAGAAGUAGAAGAAGUUGAAUUUUCUGAAUGAGUUUGUUCAGAAUUGAAUUUUAAAAUCUGAUCUAAAGAAGGUUCCGAAUUGAAUGAGGAAGGCGUAUUAUGGGUCUGCGAAUGAUCUCGAGUAGGCUGUGUAUUCGCAUGAUCAGUAAUAGGACAUUGCACUGAAUCAUUACUAGUAUUUUCAAUAGAUGAUAAUCGGCGAGUGCGAAGUGUCGGCAUGUGAUCCAAUUGGUUAUCAAAUCCAGGAGCAGUGGAAGGAGAAAACAGUAGUUGCUGGGAAUUAUGAGAUGAAUCUGGAUCGGGGUUAUUUAGAGUAGAAUUCUUUUGUGGGGUAGAAAUUUUCUGUAAUGGAGUGAAUGGUACAUCUGUCGAAGCAAUUCUGGAUGAUUCAGCAACAGCAGGAGAUAUCGUGGGAGAAAAAUAUUCAUGUUCAGCAAAAAGAACAUCACGGCUUAUAAUUACUGGCUUCCUUUUUGGAUCCCAUGUACGAUAACCCUUUGACUCAUCAGAAUAACCUAAGAAGAAUCCGAUUUGGCUUUUAGGAUCAAGCUUUCUUUGUAAUUGAUAUGGAAUAUGUGUGAAAACUCUACAUCCAAAAGGUCUCAUGUGAGCAAGAGCAGGCUUUUUACCCGUACAAGCUUCAUAAGGUGUAAUUGUAGGAAGAAGUCAAGAACAAGUUCUGUUUAAUGUAUAAACAAUAUUGUCAACUGCCUCUGCCCAUAAAGCAAGAUCUAGAUGUGAAUGGUAAAUAGAACUUCGAAUUGCUUCCACAAUGGUAUAGUUAUCUCUUUCUGAUGCUACGUUUUGUUCAGGAGUAUAUGGAAUUGUAAAUUUAUGUUUAAUGCCUUCUGGAUGUAAAUAAUCAAUAAAAUUUUUACUACAAUAUUUGCCUCCAUUAUCAGUACGCAAUGUAAGUACUUUGUAACCUGUAUCUCGAAAAAUAGCCUUGCAUACCUUUUGAAAACAAAGAAGAGCAUCUGGUUUUUAUGGAAUACAAAAUACAAGACGAUAUCGGGUACAGUCAUCUUGAAGUAAAAUAUAAUAUAAGGAACCACCAUGAGAUGGAACAUUCAUUGGUCUACAAAUAUUACUAUGAAGAAGCAUUCCAGGUGAAGAUACUCGAGUUCUUGUUAUAUUGCGUGGAAAUGAAGCUCUAUGAGAUUUACCAAAUGCAUAGGAAGAACAAAUACUAGGAGGUUCAAUAUUUUUAAUUUUAAUAACUGUCAUAGAUCCGUUUGUAGCCAUGCGCUUGAUCGUAUCACAAUGCAAAUGCCCAAGUCUUAAAUGCAAUGUAUGUAAAUCUUGUAAUUCUUCUGAUGAUGAAAUAUUUCCAUAGGAGGCUGCAUAUGAGACAUUGACUGAAGGAAGUAAAACUGUAAAAUCAAGUAUAUAUGAUCCUUGAUGCAUUCGACCAAUUAUUAUAAGUUAAUUGUCUUGAAUUAACUGACACAUGUGAUCUUUACAAAGUGUAAAUUUUUUAUGUUGUGCUACCUUUUUGAGACCGAAUAAAUUUCUCCUAAAACUCGGAAUAUAAAGUACCUAAUGCAACAGAUGGACUUCAUUGCCAGUGGGUAAUUAUAUUAGAAUUUUAAUAUCACCAGUUCCUGUGACAUAAGAUGUGUGCCCAGCUGGAGUUUCAACUGGCCACAUAGAAUGAUGGGAUAAUGGUUGUAAUUAAUGAACCAUUGUAAUUGAUACGUCACAAGUUCUAUUGCUCCACUGUCAGCAAUCCAUCCAUUGAUAAAUCCUCCAGAAGCCAACAGUGAAGCAUUAUAAGCUCGAGUUAAAUCAUUUGAAAAAUCAAGAGAAUAAAUCUGUGGAUUAUAAGAGUGAACUUGUUCUGGUUGAGUAUAUAUAAAUUCUUGAGAAGAAGCUGAAGAAUUAAACUCAUCCUCUGAAUAUUGGACUUCUAGUGGUAAGUAAAAUGUGUUUAAGUCAUCUAAAGGAACAGUCUCAUACAUAACAUUUCCAAAAGACAAUGAACGACCAUCUAUGACUUCUACAUGUACGAAUUCAGUUUUUUGAGUAAAGGUAUUUUUUGAUUUUUGACAAAAUCUUAGUCUAUAAAACAAGCUAAGGCUCCUGAAUCUAAUAAGGCAAGGACUUUGUGAUUUUUAAGUACUAAAUGCACAUCUAUUAUAAAACAAGGUGAGGGGUCUGAGGAGAGAAUAUGACCUUUAUUAGGUGUUGUAUAUGAUUCCAACUACACAGUCCCUAUCAUAGUUAGAGAAACUCGUUUUUUGACACAUUAUCUUCUUUGGUAAUUGUACUCUUUAUUUUGUAAUUGCAUUGCUUCUUUGGACAAUGUUGAGCAAUGUGCUUAGCUUCUCCACAGUAUAAACACAAACCCUCUUAGUUAUCGAGUCUUUUCCUGCUUUGUGAGAGUUUUAAAAUGUAUCGUAUUAAUUUGCAUUGAUUUUGGCCUUGGUGAAUAUGUUUCAAAAAAUUAGAAGCUGUUGCCAUUACUUGACUUAUUCAUCUCUAGCUAAGUCUUUGUUCUUGGUGCCUUUCAAAUAAUGAAUUGUCGUAUGCAAUGAUUUGAGUAAUAAAUUAUUCCAAAGAUUUUAUUUUUGGCAUUGUUAAUAAAAAAUCUUUGACACUAUCCUUUAAUCCAUAUCAAAAUUGAUUGAUGAGUGCUUUGUCAUUCUAGUCCACAUCGCAAGCAAGGUUUUGGAAUUUAGCAGCAUAUGUGGUAGCUGAUCGUGAUCCUUGUUGUAAAGUUAAGAGUUUGGUCUCUUUGUGAUUAUCGAAUAUUUCUCCAAAUGUUGCCAUAAAUACUUCUAGGAAUGAGUUCAAAUCAUAAAAGAGUAGCAAAUCUUUUUCUAUUAAAGGUGUAAACCAAGAGAGAGCACUUCUUGAUAGAAGUGUGCUUAUGAAUCCAACUUGAGUAAAUCCAUCAAGAUAUUGAAAAGGAUGCAAAUUUAGAUAGAGCUUGACUUGUUGCAAAAAUCCUCAAAAUUUUGAUCUUGUUCCAUCAAACUUCUUAAGCAUACUAAUCCUUGUCCCCAUCAUACUUGUAGAAGUAAAACUCCUUGAAUUUGGUUAUGAAGUCGAUCUACUUGCUUCCUUCAAUUGCACAACUCUUGUUGCAAACUUUGAACUUCUUCUAUAGAUGUAGGCAUAGUACCUCCAUGAUUCACAUUAAAAAUAUGUGAGAUUUCUAUUCUAAGAGUAUUGACAAGCUGAUGAAGAUUUGCAAUAGUUGCAAAUCUAUUCUCACUUCCACUAGGUAUAGUGUCCAUAAUUUUUUCUUUCGUAGGCAACUCAAACAAAUCCAAAAAGUUAAAUUAGAGGAGGGUAAUCUACAACCUCUAAUAAAAAUUUCCAUAAAAAUAGGUAAUCCACUCUCUUUAAAGAAAGUUCAGUAUUAAAAAAUAAGACUUUUUUUGUUUAAAAGGUGGAUAAUCUACAACCUUCAAAAUACAACAAUAGAAGUGGAAUAAUCCACUCACUUCUAAAAUAAGACAAUAAUAGUAUGUUAGCAGUCUUGUCAAACUGUCAGAGAUAUGAAUCUCAAAAAAAGAGAAUCCUUGAUACACUCUUGUGUCACUCAAGAGAACUAGAAAGUCACUAAAAAAGUAAUGUAAUAUUAACUAGAAUGGUUAUUGCCAAAAACAAGAAGACUAGAAAGUCUUGAAACAAGACUAAAUACUAGAACGACAUUGAAAAGAGUGAAGAAGGCUUCACUCUUGUCUCCAUAUAUACUCUUAAUUAGGAGCUAGGUAGAGAUGUCUUAUAGGACCUCCAAAAUAUGUUGACUUUGCUAGCUACAUGAUUUAACUUGCAAGGCAAGUUAUUUAUGUAUACGCCACAUGUAUGUUCCACAAGCUAUUAUGUAGAGUUAACUUGUUCCACAAGCUACCAACAUGUGGUUAACUUGUUGGCCAAGUUUUUGACCUACAAACACAUCUAAAGUCAAAAUUGCAUCUUUGAAGCUUCUAAGAAGCUUCACUAAAAGAAUUUAUAAAAUUAAUCUAUAUUUACCUAUUUCUAUCUAGUCAUAUAAGUAAUAAUUGAAGUAAAUGUAUAUAUCCAUAACAAAGAAAACAAUUGAAGAGAUUUUCAAAAGUAAGACAAAUAAUUUAGAUGAGGCUAAAAAAUGGCUCGGUUGAUUGAAGACAUGGAUAAGGAGCAAGAACAAAUAUGAAAGAAAGAAGACCAUAUGUGAGUCAUACAAUUGACUCACUAAUUAUUUUAAUACAAAGAAAAAUACUUAUAGUGCUUAAAAUCAUUAAUUAAAGAGUUUAUAUAGGAAUUAUAGAUAAAUAAUAAUUAAUAGGAUAUAGUGGCAAGAAUAGGUCUUUUGCAAAAUUAUUUGAGAAAGAAUUUUAAAAUAAAUAAUUGAUCUUUAAUGGAGCCAAUAUAGAUGUACAAUGUCUUUUAUAGUAAAUUUAUUCUUAUAGAAAUUGAUUGAAUUAGGAGUAGAGUGUAAAUUUAAAGUGAAUAAUUAAAAAAAUAGAAGAAAAUAAAAAAUAAGAAGAUAGGAAAUUAAUAGAAGAAAGUAGGAAAAAAAAGUAAUAAUAGAAAGAAAAAUAGAUAAAGAAAGAAAAAAAAUUAAAAAAAAAGAAGAUUGCUUAAAGCUACCCCCAAUUUUUGAUAGCCUUCUUACCAAUAGGAGUCUAUGUUGCCUUAUAUUUGCUUUAUUUCUCUUGAUUUUUUUUAGUUUUUUUUUCUUCACAACUUCAUAAGCUCUAGGUACUUUGGAGAAUUCUAGCUAUCUUUAUUGCAUAAUAAAAAAAGAAUUUGAAUUCUUUUUCUUAGUGUUACUAUUCUAGCUAAGGAGCUACUCAUUUUUAAUGAUAGUUGCCAACUUUCAUAUAUUGAUUCUUGCUAAAAUCCCUUAUUGUAUUAGAAAAAAAUUAUUUUGUUUUGUUGUUUGUGGUGGCGAUUCUGCUUAUAAGUAUGCUAUAAUCACGGCUUAAGCUUUGUCUUAUUUUUCUUAAUAAGUUUAUUAAUUGUAUCUAGAUACAUCUUUCAAGGAAUCAUAGGGCGAAAAUUCAGGGUAAGACUUUGCUAAUUGGAGCAUUUGAUUGUCACAUCAAGCAUCAUCAUAAGAAUUGCAAUCAACAUCAUCACUAUUGUAUUAGCUACUUUAAGUUUAGUGGCUAUAACAUUCAUUUCUUAUAUUUUCUUAUAUACAACAUGAAGCUCCAAAAGAAUUAAAAAUCUACUCAACAUUUGAUUUUUUGAUUUUUUUCAAUUGUAUAUACAAUUGAAACGUCAAUCCAUUGAAGUCUCAGGUGCUCUGUGACAAAUUUUGCAAUGGCAAUUGAGCGUAGCCAAAAAAGUGAGGCACAACACAAAGAUCUACUAUAAUGAUAAUUUUAGAAUAUUGAAGAGAAGAUAACUUGCUUCUUAGUGUAUAUAGUUGAUGUACUUUCUUUGACCAUUGACAUAGUAAAUCAUGGUUAAAAUAAGAUCUAGGAAGGAAUGAAUUUUUUCUUUCUUAUGCACUAUGCCAUUAGACAUUAAAUUAGAAGGUAUCAUUGGUAAGGUAUUAGUAUAGUGAUUUGUCCAAAUUCCUUGUAUUUUUUUCUCAAUUUGUUAUUAUUGAUCGUGUUCUUAUCUUUUUAUAUUUUCUAAUCUUUUGUAUUUUUUUCCUUACUACUAAUUGGAUACGGACCUUCUCAUUGUUCAUUUUAUUCUAUAUUAUUGAUCAUACUAUUUUUAGUUUUUUUAUUGAUGGUGAUCUUGAUGUGAGAAGAAGAAUUGGUAUAACUAUCUACAUAUCAUCUUUGAUAGCAUUAGCUCAUCAAGAACUUAGUUGAAUAGUGAAGCCACAAUUGAUUUGUGAGUGGUAUUCUUAUAUUCCUAGCAUGAGAGAUUGUUCAUUCUAUACACCUACAAGUUCAAUGUCUCAUGAGAUGAAUAUAUUCCUAGCAUAAGAGACAAUUAAUAGCUUUUGACUCUGAUUAAGCAUUGGCAGCAAUAGAUUCAAUCAAAAGAGUGAUUCUAAUACACAAUUGACAUCAAAGACUUCCAAAUUGAAGUUGUGGCACCUACAAAUUGUAAGUUCUUUACUAUAUAUGACUUUUUAAUGCGUGAGGGCUCAAAGUUGUAUAGCAAAAAUAGUUAGGAGGUCAUAUUGCUUCUGCAAUCAAGAAUUCUUAUUAGAAGUUGGAGCAUAUUAUAAAUGCUCUUAGUUUAAAGCAAUUUAUAGGUUGCAACAAAGACAUAAGAUCUUCCAUGUAUUAGAGAGGAUAGAGUCUUGACUAACUCAGUGCACAAGGCAAAAAUGCUCCUAGAAGAUGGCAUUUUUCAAGGCUGAAUUAUAUUAUUAGAAGGGAAAUCUUGGUUGACAAAUUGCAUAACGGAUCUAAAUAGCUUCAAUGAUCAUCUUCCUUUUGAGUGACUAAUAAGGUGACAAACUUCCAUAAGAUGAUGUUAGAUUAGAUUUCAAGUAAAUUAGGAUUUGGAUAAAAAUAAUAUUAAAAUUUAGGUGAAAUUUAAUAAAAAAUGAGCUUCUAUCAACUUGGAUGAAAUUUUAUAAAUGAAUAUUAUUUUAAAGUGGUUGAUUUUUUAUUCAUAGAUAAAAAUUUAUUUAUAAAUGGAAAUUUUUCUUGAAUGAAUUUUAAAUUUUUGAAUGAUAUUUAAUACCAAAUAAAAUUAAAAUUAAAAAUUAAAAAUUAUAUAAACAUAAAUUGAAUCAUCUAAAAAAAUAAACUUUUGAAUGUAAUUUUUUUUUAUUUAAAUAUUUGAAUGACUUGUAUUAUUUAAUUAGUUGUAUUGUAGAGGUUAAAGGUGAAUUUAAAUUGGUAGAAAGUUGAAAAAUUAAAAUAAAAUAGAAAAUAAUUUAAUCAAUUAAAUUAUAAAUGAAUUAAUAUAAAUAAAUUAGAAUAGAUUAUGUAUUAGAAAGAUUUAUAUUGGUCACAAUUGGGAUUUUUAUUGGAAUUAUUGGAUACUUAAGAAAAUAAUAAUAAAAACUUAUUAGAAAAUUUAAAUAAUUAAAUUGUUGUGAAUUAGAAUAGACUUCUAACUAUUGAAGGUUUACUUUACUUCACACUAUAGAAUACCAUUUUUAUUUGUAUCCAUGUCCAAAUUAUAAGAAAUUCCCAAGGACAUUCAUAUGAGGCUAAGAGAAACCAAUUUCAAUCCAUAAAUUACUAUCUAACAUCUUUAGAGGUUAAACUAUCUCCUAGCCUCCUUGAAUUGAUAUACCCAAAAGAUAGGAAUAGAUACAAAGAGGACUUAAAGAAUAAAGUUUUUCAAAGCCAAUAAGGGUGUGAGUCACUGAAUUGACUCAUUUAAGUAUUUAGUAUAAAAAGGGUACUUAUUAAGCUUAAAAUCAUAGAUUAUGUGAGUUAAUAGUAGAAUUUUUAGAAAAAAAUAGAAAAUAGAUUAUUAAUAGUAAAUAUGCAACCUAAAGUAAAAUUUAUUAAGAUAAAUUUUGAUGAUGAAUAUAUUCUUUAUUAGCCAAAAUUAGAUGAUGGCCCAAAAAAAGUAGCCUUCUUGUCAAAAGAAAAAAGAGCAUUUUAUUUUAUUAAUAGUUCUUAAAAUAUGUAUGUAUAUAUCUAUAUAUAUAUAUAUAUAUAUACACGUUAAUAGAAAAAAUAAAUAAAAAGAAAGAUAAGUUAGAAAAAAAUAAAGGAAUAGGAAAAAUAUAUAUAGUAAAAGAAAACAGGAAAAGAGAAAGAAGGAGAGAAGGAAACAGAAAAGAAAGAGAAGAAAAGAAAAAGAAGAAAAAGAAGAAGAAAAGAAAAAGAAGAAGAAAAGAAAAAGAAGAAGGAAAGAAGAAGAAGAAAAGAAAAAGAAGAAGAAAAGAAAAAGAAGAAGGAAAGAAAAAGAAGAAGGAAAGAAAAAGAAGAAGGAAAGAAUAAGAAGAAAAGAAAAAGAAGAAGAAAAGAAAAAGAAGAAGAAAAGAAAAAGAAGAAAAGAAAAAUAAGAAAAAGAAGAUAUAAAGAAAUCGAAAGAGAAAGUGAUGAGGAGGGCGAGAGGCUGCCCAGGAACAGCGGCAGCCUCUUCGUCGAUGCCGCCCAGAUCCCUCUCUCUGGUGUUUUUUCUGUUUUUUUUUGCCCUGUACGGAUUCUGGCUCGGAUCGAGACGGAUAUUUUGUCUUUGAAUUUUUUGACAUGAGUGUGUUGUGUAGAGUUUUGGUGCGGUCGAAGUGCUUUGGAAGUUCAGCGGCUGCACUGCGAUCAAGCUCUCUUUUCUUUUUUGCAUUCGGAGGGAGCUCCGAGUUUCACGGAAGGCACAGCCGAUUUUUGUUCGUUUCCCUGUCUAAGCGUGGUUUUUUCUCAGAAGGUCAAGCGAUGGAGUUGCGUUGCUGCUGGGUGUCAGAGGGUCGCCGGCAUCUUUCGAAGUGGUGUUGGCGGCAAGGAGUGGUGGUACUCGGCUGUGUCUUCCCCAUGGUUCUGCUGCGUUUUUUUCUCUACCUAGCCGGUGGGUAGAGAGUUGGUAGAGGCACUGGCUCCACACUGCUGUGGUGUAGAGCGACAACAAUCUUAGGUCUUCCGUUUUGACUCCUCAACAACUGUAGGACAGUAUUGUUGCUGGUGCGCAGGAUCAUUCGCGCUCCGGAGGGUUGUUGUUGGGGAACUAGGAGUAGAGCUUUGAAUCUAAAAGAAGGCGAAGCGCUUAGGUGGAUCUAGUGGAGUGUGCUUUUUCCUUCCCCUCGUGAUUGCGGCCCAACAAGAGUCAAUUUUGUGAUCAAAGCGAUUGCUGCACCUUGUUCGGAAGGGCCAACAAUCUGAUCGCAAUCGUUGUGAACAAGCUUUGAUUCUCCUCUUCCAAUUGGUGGUGCUACGUUGAGGCUAGAAUUUAUGUUCUCAUCUGACCAACAUAAUUCUCCUCGUGAAGUUGCUCGCACUGCAAAUCAAAAUCUCGAGGGAUUUUCCUUAUCGGCAUCCCGUGCUCUCCAUCGAACCCUCGCCGUGGAAUUGUUGUCUAUAACCUUGGCUUCUUAACCACCGCAUUGAUAGCAGCAACUAUCGUCGAUUUUACGAUACGACAAGUUGCUGAUCAAGAACUGUUCAUCAUCAACAUCGACUUUUUAUUCCUGUCGACAUCUCCAAAUUGCCAGCUACUAAGUGGUGUUCUUCUCAUGUCAUGGGGAUCCGAUUGUGACUUACUAGGGGCUGUAGCCAUCGUCAAGAUCAAGUUCCGAUUUCCGUAGAGAGUUUUGAAUGCGUUAUAGUAGCAAAUAGGAGCACGGUUAAUUGUACUAGGCUAGACUGCAUGCUCAUUGUUGGGUAAUUGGCCUUACCUUCAGUUAUUAGCUCCUUCAUGCACUGGAAGGGAAGUCCAUUCACAGGCUGAGCAAUUGGGAAGGCUACUGUUCACAUGGGAGGCUGUUGCAAAAUUGCCAUUCCGACAAGUUCAAUUGGAGGAGGACCAGCAAUCAAGCAAGGGAGCGUCAGGUGAAUCCAAGUUAGAGUUUUUGCGAGUAAUCCUCUGUGGUCGUGCAUAUCUUCACCGGCAUAGCCAACGUGGUCGGUUCAAGACGGAAAAUCAUUGCUAGACAUCCAGCAUCAUCAGUGAGGAGGGUGAAGGAAUGGAGCUGUGAAUUGGGAGGGAGUGUCCUUCUACUAUGUACAGCGAGUUGUUUUUUUCGAUCCUUCUUAGCCGUUGUGUAAAGAAAAAAAUAUAAAAAAAUAAUAAUAUAAAUUAAAAAGAAAUAAAAUAUAUGGUAAACUGUUUAUAUACAAUUAAAAAUUGUCAGGGGGUGCCUUGGAAGUGGUGUGUGAAUUAGGUUUAAGUUGGAUGAAUUUAAGGUUAAAAUAAAUGAUAAAAAUAGAUGAAGCUAGGUUAAGAGUGGAUGAAUUUUUACUCAUGGAUGAUUUUUUGAUAAUGGAUGAAAUUAAAAUAAAAAAAUAAACUAAAAGAGAGAAAAUUUUAUGGCAUUAAAUUGUUGAGUGAUUUAUCAUUGUAAAUGUGAAUUAUUGUAGUAUUUUGGUUUGAUGGCUUGGAUUAUUUAAGAAGAAUAAAGAAUGAUUAAUUAGAAUCUAAUUAAUAGCUAUAACUACUAUAAUUCACAAAGUUAAUUCAUUUGUUAUAAAUUAGAAUAAACUUCCAAUUAAUGGAGGUUUAUUUUAGUUCACAAAGUUUCCUAGCUUGUGGAAGCUGCUUGAGAAGCUUCCUAAUUUGUGGAAGCUACUUAAGAAGCUUCUUAGCUUUUAGUAUAUAUAAGAGCCGAGAUUGAGAGGAUCCUCAGUCUCGACAACACACCUCUUGGAGCUUCUUGUUUUGUAUGUCGUUGACGUCACCCCCCUCUCCCCCCCUCCCCCCAUUUAGCUUCAAGGUCUUCGAGAAGCACUCUUAUUGCGAGUCAAUACCAACGCAAGAAGUUGAAAAUUUAUCGCAUAGUCUGCAAUAUACUCCAAUUGUUGUUUAUGUGAUAAGUAGUUCAUUGGUCCUUGUAACCAAUGAUAGUGUCCUACGCCUUUGAUUUCCGACCAAGCAUGAACUUCUCUGUCUUUAUUGUAAAAAUGCCCUACAAAUAUUCAUUCGGGAAGAUCACCAUAGGCAGGUUCUACCUCAAACACAA